GCCUGGAUAGCUCAGUUGGUUCAAGCAUGGUGCUGAGAAUGCCAAGGUCGCAGGUUCGAUCCCAGUAUGGGGCA